CUGCUCCAUUUUCUGUCGCCAUGAGGUAGGAGGCGUGCGCUUCUGUUUGUCUAACUCAAGUCUUUCUGGCUGCACAAAGAGAGGAGAAGACAGCGAGAACCCAGCACUGCCAUGCAUGGGAAGUCCACAGCUGCCCAGAGGCUGGAGGGGCUCAGAAGAAGCAACCUCCUACGCAGAUGGGACCGGGACCAGCAACUGCCCCAGGAGGUACAUACAGCAUUUAGAGCAGUAUGGGAGUGAACUGUGCAAAUGUCAGCCAUUCCAUCGCCCUUUUGCAGACGCAUCACAACUCCUGGUAAAUGGGACAAAGUACUUCUUUCUUUCAAAUCUAAUCCAAAGGCUUGAAGACAACAAAUCUGCCCUGAAAGUCUACUAGAAAAUGUAGAGUUGCAAGACUUUAAAAUAAUGGAACUACCGGGCCAGCCAAAUAGCUCAGCAGAUUAAAGCGCCUGCAAGCAGGCACAGGGGCUGGGUUCAAUC